rnacentral:tRNA from 1 species
UCCCUGGUGGUCUGGUGGUUAAGACUCCGUGCUCCCAACAUAGGGGGCCUGGGUUCGAUCCCUGGUCAGGGAA